AUUGAACGCUGGCGGCAUGCUUUACACAUGCAAGUCGAACGGUAACAGGCCUUCGGGUGCUGACGAGUGGCGAACGGGUGAGUAAUGCAUCGGAACGUACCCAGAGGUGGGGGAUAACGCAGCGAAAGCUGUGCUAAUACCGCAUGUGAUCUGAGGAUGAAAGCGGGGGACCGAGCAGCAAUGUUUGGCCUCGCGCCUUUGGAGCGGCCGAUGUCGGAUUAGCUAGUUGGUGGGGGAAAGGCCUACCAAGGCGACGAUCCGUAGCUGGUCUGAGAGGACGAACAGCCACACUGGGACUGAGACACGGCCCAGACUCCUACGGGGGGCAGCAGUGGGGAAUUUUGGACAAUGGGCGAAAGCCUGAUCCAGCAAUGCCGCGUGCGGGAAGAAGGCCUUCGGGUUGUAAACCGCUUUUGGCAGGAACGAAACGGUGUCCGCUAAUACCGGGCGCUAAUGACGGUACCUGCAGAAUAAGCACCGGCUAACUACGUG
rnacentral:rRNA from 1 species